UGGCUCAGUGGUAGAGUGCUUGCCUUACAUGCAUGAGGCCCUGGGUUCAAUUCCUUA
rnacentral:tRNA from 1 species